rnacentral:rRNA from 1 species
GGUUAAGCGACUAAGCGUACACGGUGGAUGCCCUGGCAGUCAGAGGCGAUGAAGGGCGUGCUAAUCUGCGAUAAGCGCCGGUAAGGUGAUAUGAACCGUUAUAACCGGCGAUACCCGAAUGGGGAAACCCAGUGUGACUCGUCACACUAUCAUUAACUGAAUCCAUAGGUUAAUGA